GGGCAUGGGUUGGAUGAUCUCAGUUCAGUUCCCAAAUCUUUCUUUCCCAUCCCAUCAGUCUUCCAGGAUCUCAGCCAGUUCUCUCACUGCAGAGACUGGAGAAGCCCAGCCCGCAGUGUGAAGGGAGAGCCACUGUGGUGCUCAUGGCAAGACACCCAGAGUCCCUUCCAGGCAGGGACACCCCUGGAGCGACCCUGUUUCAGCAUGAAGUUAUUUGGGUGAGAACUCACCAAGCAUGCACAGCGGGUGCUUCAGCAUAUCCCUUCAUUGAACUCCACACGGCCCUGCUGAGCAGGUGGGCCCACCAUUCUCAGACCCCCAGGGCCCUACAGACAGCAGAUCUGCCGCUUUCAACCAUACCCACUGCCUCUCAUGCUGGAGUAGGGGAAAUGGAACCCACAAAGCCUGCAGGCCAGGGAGGGUGGGAAACUGGGGUGAUGUGAGCACACGGCGUGUGCACACGGGGUGGAGCACACGGGGUGGAGCACACGGGGUGGAGCACUGUGGACUGAAUGCCUGUGUCCCCUGGGUUCAUAUGUUGAACUCCUAACUCCCAAUGUGAUGGUGUCAGGAGGUGGAGCCUUUGGGAGGUGGUUAGGCCAUGAGGGUGGAGACCCAUGCUGGGGUCAGUGCCCUUACGCCUCUCCCAUGUGAGGACGCAGAGGGCAGCUGUCUACAAGCCAGGAAGAGAGGCCUCACCAGACACCAAACCUGCCGGCACCUUGCUGUGAGACGUCCAGCCCCCAGAGCUGUGAGAAAUAAAUUUCUGUUGUUUAAGGCACUCAAUGUUUUGUUAUAGUAGCCCGAGCUGACUGAGCAGAUAUUCAUAUGGAAAGUGAAUUUUGAUCUCUACUUCAUGCCAUUCGUAAAAGCCAAUUCCAGAUUGACUGUAGAUACAGAUUGGCAAAGCAAAACAGUACAGUUUCUAGAAAGAAACAGGAAAAUGUCUUCAUGAGGUGGUCAAAUAUUUCCUAGAGAGGACACAAUAAGCACCAACUACAAAAUAAACAAUGAUAAAUUGGACUGCAUUAAAAUGAAGAACAUCUGUUCAACAGAGGACCCCAUGAAGAGCGUGAGAAGCCAAAGCACAGAGUGGGAAGAGAAAUCUGAGCUGAGAUGGGAAAUCAGAACAUGAAGAACUCCUUCAAGUCAGCAAGAAGACAGGCAAGCCGAGAGGAAGACGGACAGACGACCUCCACAGACACUUCACAAAAGAGAUAUCCAGGCAGGUGUGGUGGCUCACGCCUGUAAUCCCAGCACUU